CCCACAACCCCCCAGCCCCAAAAAAAAAGGGCCCUUUGUCUAUACCAGAAGUGAAGUAUAUAAUUUGCAUGGUCAAUUUAGAUGUCUUUUUUUUUUUUGCCCCACACCUCAUCUAAUGCUAAUUAUGAUUUUCAAGUUUCAUCUAAAGAUGUGCUUGGUUUCCUUUGCCUAUAGUGGGUGCAAUCUUGAUGCAUCGUGAAGCUUAACAAGAUAACACACUCACAUGUGUGAGUGUAAAAUUGAGAGAAAUUCUCUGCAGUAUUUAUUAAUCAAAAUCUGUCUCUGAAAUUCACAACUUUGAGGAGUAUUUACAGAAUUUAUAUUCCUAAACUAACUAGGAAAAUAUAA
rnacentral:misc_RNA from 1 species